rnacentral:rRNA from 1 species
CCCAGACUCCUACGGGAGGCAGCAGUGGGGAAUAUUGCACAAUGGGGGAAACCCUGAUGCAGCAACGCCGCGUGAGUGAAGAAGUAUUUCGGUAUGUAAAGCUCUAUCAGCAGGGAAGAAAAUGACGGCACCUGACUAAGAAGCCCCGGCUAACUACGUGCCAGCAGCCGCGGUAAUACGUAGGGGGCAAGCGUUAUCCGGAUUUACUGGGUGUAAAGGGGGCGCAGACGGCGAUGCAAGCCAGGAGUGAAAGCCCGGGGCCCAACCCCGGGACUGCUUUGGAAACUGUGUUGCUGGAGUGCUGGAGAGGUAAGCGGAAUUCCUAGUGUAGCGGUGAAAUGCGUAGAUAUUAGGAAGAACACCAGUGGCGAAGGCGGCUUGCUGGACAGUAACUGACGUUGAGGCUCGAAAGCGUGGGGAGCAAACAGGAUUAGAUACCCGGGUA